UCUAUUUUUCAAGGAAUACAAAUCUCUUUAAUAAUUAGAUAUUUUUAUCAUUCUCUUUUCUCUUUAAACUGAGCAGGGAGCUGUAUGUGAGCCUUGAUCCCAGGAACCUGAGAUCAUGACCUGAGCUGAAGGUAGACGCUUAGCUGACUGAACCACCCAGAACGCUUGAAUUGGAUCUUGUGACUGGAAACAUUAACUCUCUGUGUUGAUCACCUGGAGACCUGUUUUCAAUCCUCUGAAGAUCGCCAAGUGAAGGCCUACCCCUUGAAAGUCUUAAAAGUAGAAUCUUUCAGGCUGUAAAGAUUCAAGAGCCCGGGAUGUCCUGCGUGGAGUACUUCUGGCCUCAGCCACCCAGAUUAUACUUUCCUAGGAAGACUACCACAGUAUGUCUCAUUGUGAUCUUGUGAUGUGACAUUAUAAAUCCUCUCAUCCAGAGCUGAGGGUCUCUGUUCCCUUCCUGAACCAGGGUGGACCCUUGUGAUUACCUCGACCAGGGAAGCAGAGGAGACCUUAUGUAACUUCUAUGGCUAGGUCAUAAAAUGUACUCAAGAUCUCUCUUCUUGGAGUGGCUUUAUUAGUUUUUGCUGUUCAAUAAACUCUCGUUUAUCCUUUAAGACUGAGAAGACAUAUCACUGCUUUGAAGAGCUUUCU